rnacentral:lncRNA from 1 species
GUAACUUGAAAACUAGCAGCAGUCCUGACCUCUUCAUGAUUGUGUUUCUCUGUCCUAAAUUUUCAGCUGCAUUUUUUCUCCCAGUUUGAGAAGAUUCGAGACUGCCUUCAUGGAAAAGCAUCAUCAGCUGGAUUCAGAAUACAGGGAACUGGCUCAUGAAUGGACUGGGGCUGCAGAGGUGUUGAUAACUGGAGAUGCUUCCAAGAAAUACAUGCAGGAGUCAAGAUACAGCAAAGCAGAACUGUGGUGUUUAAGGUAUAAUUUUUGAUGUUAGAUAGGAUAAAUCUACUU